rnacentral:rRNA from 1 species
UACUUGAAACUGCGAAUAGCUCAUUAAAUCAGUUAUAGUUUAUUUGANGGNGCCUUACUACAUGGAUACCCGUAGUAAUUCUAGAGCUAAUACAUGCCAAAAAAACCCAACCGCAAGGGCGGGUUGUAUUUAUUAGAUAAAAACCAUUACUCGCAAGAGUUUUUGUGGUGAUUCAUAAUAACUGUUCGAAUCGCAUGCCGCAAGGCGGCGAUAGAUCAUUCAAAUUUCUGCCCUAUCAGCUCUCGACGGUAGUGUAGUGGACUACCGUGGCAUUAACGGGUAACGGAGAAUUAGGGUUCGAUUCCGGAGAGGGAGCCUGAGAAACGGCUACCACAUCCAAGGAAGGCAGCAGGCGCGCAAAUUACCCAAUCCUGAUACAGGGAGGUAGUGACAAAAAAUAACAAUACCGGGCAUUUCAUGUCUGGUAAUUGGAAUGAGUACAAUUUAAAUCCCUUAACGAGGAUCAAUUGGAGGGCAAGUCUGGUGCCAGCAGCCGCGGUAAUUCCAGCUCCAAUAGCGUAUAUUAAAGUUGUUGCAGUUAAAAAGCUCGUAGUUGGAUUUCUGGUAUGGUGCGCCUGGCCCACGGUUGCAAAACCGCGAGUGUCGGUGUGCGCCUGCCAUCUUUCUAGUUAACUGGACGCACUUAACUGGGCGGUCAGCGAUCUAGAUCUUUUACUUUGAAAAAAUUAGAGUGUUUAAAGCAGGCUUGCGCUAUGAAUACAUUAGCAUGGAAUAAUAAUUUAGGACUUUAUUCCUAUUUAUUGGUUUCUGGAGUAGAGUAAUGAUUGAUAGGGAUAGUUGGGGGUGCUAGUAUUCAUCGGCCAGAGGUGAAAUUCUUGGAUUCGAUGAAGACUAACUAAUGCGAAAGCAUUCACCAAGGAUGUCUUCUUUAAUCAAGAACGAAAGUUGGGGGAUCGAAGACGAUCAGAUACCGUCGUAGUCUCAACCAUAAACUAUACCGACUAGGGAUUAGUGGAAGUUGCUUUUUCGACUCCAUUAGCACCUGAUGAGAAAUCGAAGUCUUUGGGUUCUGGGGGGAGUAUGGUCGCAAGGCUGAAACUUAAAGGAA